rnacentral:rRNA from 1 species
GAUGAACGCUAGCUACAGGCUUAACACAUGCAAGUCGAGGGACCGGCGCACGGGUGAGUAACACGUAUCCAACCUGCCCUUUACUCGGGGAUAGCCUUUCGAAAGAAAGAUUAAUACCCGAUAUAAAGGAUGGGGAUGCGUUCCAUUAGGUUGUGGGUGAGGUAACGGCCCACCAAGCCUGCGAUGGAUAGGGGUUCUGAGAGGAAGGUCCCCCACAUUGGAGCUGCGACACAGUCCAAACUCCGACGGGAGGCAGCAGUGAAGAAUAGUGGGCAAUGGGCGUUAGCCUGGACCAGCCAAGUAGCGUGAAGGAUGAAUGCGUUUGGAUCGUAAACUUCUUUUAUAUAAGAAUAUGUAUUAUAUGAAUAAGGAUCGGCUAACUCCGUGCCAGCAGCCGCGGUAAUUC